GCGUGGUACUAAUGUAAGAGACUCUGUGUAAGGGGUGGUAUUAUCUUGAGAAGCACCGUUUCGUUCAGCUAGUGUUUAUCUUGACGGCCUGAUACCAAAGACCCUGUUGCAGUUGCUAAGAACAGAACCAUUAUGACCCUCUAGGGUCCCUAUCCUCUGAUUAAAAGAAAUUAUACACACACAAAUACACACACACCACACACACAUACACACACACACAUAUUUCAUUGAAAACACAGGCAGUGGAUAUGCUGUACACAGACACAAAGUGAUUCUAAGACAACUUUAGGACAGAGACUCAAAUCACCUGAAAUUCCAUCAUCACGACAUAAACAUUGUUACAACGGUGUGGUUGCUGUCACUUUUCUUCUGUUUCUUUUGUCGGGACAAGUCAUGAUGUACCAACGAGGUUCCCUAUCCUGGUUUUGUAACCUGACGAUCACAGAAGGAACAUAACCUAGUCACCCACAAACAAGCAUCUCUUAUUCCCAGUUGUUUAUCUGCCUCCGUCCUGCAUAUAGACACUCGCAUUGCAGAUGACUUCCUUGGGAGUGACGCCCGGAGAUGGAAUGACGGAGUCAAAGGUUCUGAAUCUAUUUUCAGGCUCUUGAUACAUGGUGGCAAAUGGCUUUCCAAAAGGGCUGUGCCAGUUGACAUGGCUGGCAGCAGCAAGGCCCGAGUCUUCCUUUAGGCCUGCACAUGGGUACGUUAAUCAUUCAAAAAAUACUUUCUUUUUAAAUGCCCGCACCCGAUGCACAUCAAAGUUCCUGGGCCAGGGGUUGAAUUCCAGCUGCAGCUACGGCAACACAGGAUCCUUUAACCCACUGUGCCAGGCUGGGGGAUGGAACCCGUGCCUCCGCAGUGACUGGAGCUGCUGCAGUGAGGGUCUUAACCCACUGAGCCACAAUGGGAACUCCCCCUCCCAUACUUUUUAAGUGAGAUAUAGUUUGCACCCAAUAAAGAGCACAGAUCUUCAAUGCAUGAGCUUGGUGAAUUUUCACAGAUGUACAUCUGUGCAAAUGCUACCCAGAUCAAAAUAUACACUUGGAUAUUUAUAUUUCCAUCAUCCCCAGAAGGUUCUUUCCUGCCCCAGUCGGUGUCUUCAUUCUCUUGGAGGUAACCAUUAUCUGAAAGGCCCUCAUUUUCCAGUGAUUUCUGCAGGUUUCUUCUCUCAUCUCCUUGUUCCUGGACCCACCCAGACUUCCCCCACCUCAUGUGAGCAGGUCAGAGCAGAUCUGCAUCAUCUGCAUUUCAUUUCUUUCCAGCUGCCUGUACUGAGCUUAGCUUAUUAUGUGCCUGGGUUGUCUUAGGGUCACUUUGUGACCACGCCCACCGUUUCCACUACCUUUUUUUUUUUAACCCCAUGAAUUAACAAAAGCAACUGCCAUCUGUUCUGAUCCACAUGCGGCAGCAGGUAGGGGUAAUGAAGGUGUGUUAUAGAAAUAAAGCAGGAGCGAUGCUGCCUCUAAAAGAGACAACCACCCCAGCUGCGCCGCCCCCAGCCCCCCCUGGCUGUCUUCUUUCUACAGAUAGGUUAAAACACGGGGUGUGUUAAGUGCUUGGUUUGCAGAUCUUGCAAUACUUCGCCAGGGCAGAAUUGCACUUUUGUCCUGAAAUCCUUAAGGGGUCGAUUUCAAAUGGAGCCUCCUCGGGCGAAUAGGAUUGGGCUGAGGAUAUGCUAUGUUUGUGCUGGGCAGGCCAGUUUGAAGGGUUAGAUCAGAGCGUGAAUACUCCACUUGCUCAGACUCAUUAGUCAUUUUGCUGUUGAUGCUGAUGAAAAUCAUGGCUCCUAAUUUUCCGUGGGAGCUUUAUGCAGGUGCCUUCAUCUUUGCUGAGAUGGUCUGGCUCUUCAUGGGUUCAAAAGCCCCUGAAAUCCUCUCUCGUAAGAUGGCAGAGGUCGACGUCAAGGUGAGGAACAUCGUGGGCAAGAACUUCGGGCUCAACAACAGUGGAGGUGUCUGGGUCGGAAAGCAAGACGUCCGACUCAGAACGAAAGGCGGGGGAGCCAGCGAGCAGGGAUGCUGUGCUCGCAGUCGGUGUAUCCAGUGUUAGGUGCUCUCGUAUAUGCUGUCACUCGCUGAUAUUAUUCCCCUCUGCCAAUGAGGAGGUUGAAACAUGUCCAGAGUUUCACAGUUCAAGUUCUUCUCUGCUAUCCCCUCCUUGCUCGCUGAUACAAGUCAAGAUGUGUAUCCUCCUCCCGUUUUUUGUUUGUUUGUUUGCUUUUUAGAGCCGAGCCUACAGCAUCUGGAAGUUCCCAGGCCAGGAGUUGAACUGGAGCUGCAGCCGAGGCCUACACCAUGGCCAUCACAGCACCAGAGCCCAAGCCCCAUCUGGGACCUAUGCUGCAGCUCACAGCACCUUGAGAUCCUUAACCCACUGAGCGAGGCCAGGGAUAGAACCCGCGUCCUCACGGACACGGUGUUGGGUUCUUAACCUGCUGAGCCACAACGAGAACCCUCCUCCUCCUGUUUUCCUUCACCUUUUCAUCCUCCUUGUCCUUUGCUAUGAUAUACUAUACCAUAACAGUCGGUCCCUUAUCCUUGCUCUGCAGGGUCACUUGAGUCCCUUGCGAAGGCACAGCACCUAUAGACCUUGUAUGCAGAGCUUCCUGGGCUCGAAGAACGCGGUGACAAAGACGAGGUUCUAAUUAAGUAGACAGGUUUUGGAGCCUCUGUGGGUAUAAAGGUACAAAUGGCCUCUCUGAAUGUACCAAGAGCUCCCGAGUGAUUUCUGAUCAAGGGAAGCGCUUUCGUUCCCCAGCUACUGCCUUAAAAGCAAUAUCAUUAUCCAACACUGAUCAUCCAAAUUAUUCCUUCACCACCCUCCCUGCUCGCAUGCGCAAACCACUUGACCGUAUUUCAUUUUAGUAUUUCACCAGGGAGCUUUCAAACUUCUUCAUUAAUAACAAAAACAUACUCAGCCGGGAAGAGAUGGCCUGACCGGAGCACAUUCCUUGCCGACCGGUCCCCAUCCGGCGUGUGCAUCGGGAGCUCCCGUCCUCUCCAAGGACCAGUGAACGGUUCACAGCUACAGGGCUUGAUCAGAACAGACACGAGAUUCAAACCCCAGCAGCUUGUUGUAGGUGUUCUCUGAACAGAACAGUGAUAAAAUAAUGAGUGCAUCUAAUUAUCAGUGUGUUCACACGCUUUAUAUUUUCAAAGGACCACAGCAGUGAGUUGCGCUAGAAAUAGAAUGUGUGCCACAUAUAGAAUUUGAAAUUGGCUAGUAGUCACGUUAAAAAUGUCCCAAGAAACGUGUGAAAUUCAUUUUAAUACUCUAUUUCAUUGAACCUAAUAUAUCCACAUUACUACUGUUUCAACAUGUAAUAUGAGAGCUUUUACAUUCUGUUUCGGUACCAAGUCUUGGAAAACCAGGCGUGUAAAAAAUACUUAGAGCACAGGCCCCGAGAAACCUGUAGUGGAGCCUUUUCUCUAAGGCUGGAGUUAGGUUUGUUCCCAGGCAAAGUUUUUAAAAAGUGCGUUUCUUGAACCCCCAUUCCAUGCUAGGCGCUGAAGGAGGAGAGGAAGCAGUUUAGCAGAGCCUCUGCCAGCAGAGCAGCCUUUCGGGAGAUGUGAAGGCACUCUGGUGGUAAUUUAUAAUGCCGCCAAGCACGAGGCGGUUUUUGUGAUUAAUUCUCGAGCAAGUGGUUUAGGUCGUAAAAGACGGUAUCUUUAGAGGAAGAGGGAAUCCUGGCUAGUUGACGUGGUAAGCGAUGUUUCACGGAGGACAAGGGACAUUGGACAAAUAUGGCAUUUGUCUGAGAUGGCGAAAGGGGAGCACAGACAGGUCCGGCAGGGGGUACAGGUGCACGGCAUGGGACGGGUGAAGUACAGGAGCCUCGUAAAACAGGAAAUUAGCUUGACUGCAACUGGGAGGUCAUGUAAAGGGAAUUUUGAUCAAGAGAGGCAGGAUUUCUUUUGGCCAUAUUACAGAGAGGGAAAUGUUUAGAGAGACAGGGAAGAUGUUUCCGUUACUAAUAGUGAUAAAAAUAAUAAUAGCAGCUGCCAUGUGCGUGAUUAGCAGUCAGUCCCUCUACUAAGUGUUCUAUAUGUAUUAUGUCAUCGAGUCUUAUUUUGGCUGCACCUGCGGCACACUGAAGUGCCCAGGCCGGGGACUGAACCCACGCCACAGCAGUAACUGGAGCCGUAGCAGUGACAAUGCUGGAUCCUUAACCUGCUGAGCCACGAGGGAACUCCAGAAAGCCAAACCUCUAGAGCAGGUCACACAUUUGGAAAGUCAGCAGAGCAAAAAUUUUUUUUUGUCGUUUUUGCCUUUUCUAGGGCCACUCCUACGGCACAUGGAGGUUCCCAGGCUAGGGGUCUCAUCAGAGCUGUAGCGGCUGGCCUUACACCAGAGCCACAGCCACGCGGGAUCCAAGCCAUGUCUGUGACCUAUACCACAGCUCAUGGCAACGCCGGAUCUUUAACCCACUGAGCGAGGCCAGGGAUCGAACCCGCAACCUCGUGGUUCCUGGUCGGAUUUGUUAACCACUGCGCCACGAUGGGAACUCCAAGAAAUCUUUAAAAUUCACAUUCACCAGAAAAACAUGGUCUUUUCCAAUUCAAACCUUACUCUGAGUAAGGUUCCGGUUGGAGAACAAAGCAUAGAAAAAACAAUAUUCAGGGUUAUAAAGAACGUACUCGGAUGACCCCGGAGCGGAGGCCGGGCGUUCCGGCAGGGGUUCAGGCUGCCUUCCUUUUCUGGCAGACCGUUCACCACACAGCACUUAAGAGGCCGUCUAAGUCUGACCUCCAAGGUCCCAGCACUUUUCAUUUCUCUCCUUUUUCUUCUGACCUCUAACAAGUUUUGACUGUAUAGGCUCCUCUGCCCAAUAAUAUACCGUCUGUUUUCCUACUUUCCUUGGAAGAAAUAACAGCCUAGAAAUCGAAGGCCUGGAAGGGCUGGUUGCUACUUAGUGUUUGCUGCUUUUCUUCAGGUCUGCUGGGACCUGGAGCAGGGCAAGGAGGGGCCAAAAGAGGCAAGGGCAAUCUCUGCCACCGUGAAGCAUAGUCAUUUUAUUUUUAUUUAUUUAUUCGUAAGGUAUAGUUGGUUUACAGUGUUGUGUUAAUUUCUGCUGUAGAGCAGAGUGAUUGUUUUAUACACACAUAUUCAUUUUAUAUUCUUUUCCACUGUGGUUUAGCUCAGGAUAUUGACAGGAUAUUGAAUAUGGUUCCCUGUGCUGUAUAGUAGGACCUCCUUCUAUAUAGUCAUUUUAGAGACCAGAACAACAACAACAACAACAACAACAACAACAAAACCCACGAAACAAUUAGCAAACAAAAAAUGAGACGAGGAGUUCCCGUCACGGCUCAGCGGAAACCAAUCCGACUAGGAACCCUGAGGUUGCGGGUUCCAUCCCUGGCCUUGCUCCGUGGGUGAAGGAUCUGGCCUUGCUGUGAGCUGUGGUGUAGGUCGCAGAUGCGGCUCGGGUCUGGCAUUGCUGUGGCUGUGGCGUAGGCCAGUGGCUAAAGCUCUGAUUCGAUCCCUAACCUGGGAAUCUUCAUA
rnacentral:lncRNA from 1 species